CCGUGCUAGACGGGGAGGUAGCGGUGCCUUGUACUCGCAAUCCGCUAUAGCGAGGUUGAAUUCCUGUCCUAGGGUUGUGCUUGUGAGGUCUGGCUACAGUAAGUGACAAAGAAGAUUGGGUCCUGCGCAACGGAAACUCAUGAACCCCGUCAGGUCCGGAAGGAAGCAGCGGUAAGUGAAUAUUUUCGUGUGCCGCAGGGAUACCUGGUCCGAGUUAACUGCUGUGGUAACGCUCGGAAGUACAAUUCGAAGACAGGUGCACGG
rnacentral:SRP_RNA from 1 species